UCCCUUAUAGUUCAGCGGUUAGAACGGUCCUGUUUCUUGGGUGCGUCAUCGGUUCGAAUCCGAUUAAGGGAU
rnacentral:tRNA from 1 species